UCUUGUGUUUAUAGGGGAAUUUGGAACGGACCUGUGGAGGGAUUCUCAAGGUGCUGGGGACACCUGGUUGUUUUUACCGUCCUCCCUUGUUUGUCUGCUUGUUAAAGUGGACAAUCCUACAUUGUGAGAGUCCAAUGUUCACCCUAUAUUGUUUGUUUUAUGUGAAAUAAAAGCGGUAUUAUACUCAGGGCCGGCGCUACCAUUAGGCAGCUUUAGGCAGCUGCCUAGAGCGCCGGCCGCUGGAGGGCGGCCACUACUGUCCCCUUACAACUCAUUUUUUUUUUAAAUAAACUUUUGCGCGUUACGGAGGGCAGGGGAGAUUGAGGAGAGGCAUCAGCCGCCCGCCCCUCACCAGCAUUAGCCGCCCGCCCCCUCACCAGCAUCAGCCGCCUGCCCCCUCACCAGCAGCAGCGCCAACCACGCGCUUAUAGAGCUGUCGGCAGUAACGGGAGCAGCAGUGCUAACCUAGCAGGGGAUGCAGCUGCUAUGGGGCCCCGGCUAAUUCCAUGGCCCGCGCAGCUCCCACAUCGAGAACUAGAGACAGGCUGGGGAUGCUCAGGCACACUGUCCGCGGCAUUACUAGAAGAGAAGGGGACGUAGAGCAGUAGGGAGGGGGCGUGGCCAUAUGCAAAGCAUUGCCCAUUCAGUGUUCACUGGCCAGAUAGUGUACCUGAAGCUCCUCUGCAGUAGCCGCUGAAGCCCCGCCCACCCGCGGCUCCUGGUGCCCCGCCCCCAUUUUGGCUGAAGUCCUGACAUUCACCCACCAGUAAGUGUUGGGAACCCUGGGCACUGAAAUUAUGAGAAAAGGGCAGCUGCAGGGGCUGAGCUGCCUACAGGAGUACCAGAAAUACCAGGAAGAAAAAUGCAUGGACACAGGGCAGCUGUCAACGUCUGUGAGGUGAACUCUGCAUGCAUCCUACAGUUGUAUGAAAAAUGUCUGAGGACCGGAACACAAAGUCUUGCCUGCUCCCAAACAGAACAAUAUUUAGCAUACAAGAACUUUGGAAAUCUUCGCUCCCUAUCCAUGGAUAGAAGAAAGAACCCGGUUCUCCAUGACUGGCCAUCAAGACGGGACGGCCAGCACCGAGGACCAACGAGCAAAUUGAAUCAGCCAAGUGUGAAAUAGGAAAUCCUGACAACACUGCCGUGGAUGAAGAAGACUCCAGCCCCUUAAUACAGAGCCUUUAAUAGACAUCUGGAAGGCCUAUAAAACAGACAAUGUCUCUAUAUCAUCCUAGUUAAAUCAAUGUUGCUUAUAUUAACCUCAUCAUUUUCCCUUUACCGUUUAUUACAUUUUGCCAGAGUAAUUUAUUUGUCCAUACCCAUCUGACGAUUAAAGACUUCAUUUUGGAGAUUCUCGCUCUUA